rnacentral:misc_RNA from 1 species
GAUGAAGAACGUAGUGAAAUGCGAUAAGUAAUGUGAAUUGCAGAAUUCAGUGAAUCAUCGAAUCUUUGAACGCACCUUGCGCCUUUUGGUAUUCCGAAAGGCACACCUGUUUGAGCGUCAUGAAUACCUCAAUCUCCAUCUUUUCUUCGGAUUGAUGGGUGACUUGGAUGUUGAGCCCUGCUGGUAUGCUAUAUCAGCUGGCUUUAAACUUAUUGGCCGGCUCUGUACUGGAUCGGUUUGACUCGACGUGAUAAUAUUAUCGUUGAGGAUGCAUGUCUCAUGCAGCCGGAAAGUAUCAAAGCAGCUUCUAGCUUGCCUUUAGUGCACUUUUACAUUUUAGACCUCAGAUCAGGUGGGACUACCCGCUGAACUUAAGCAUAUCAAUAAGCGGAGGA